AUAGCGUGAACCAGAUCUCGGAUGUUUAAACCGGCGGAGUGAGACCGGAACGCUGUUCCAAUGUGUUUGGGAUUAGGGAUAAGGAUAUCCGAAGCAGGGAUAUGAAGAGACGAGGUCCAAGCAGAACCGGUUCGUUUAAGACGGAGUUUCUCACGGAAAAUCUGCCACGUGGUCCGAUCUUUGUGCCCUUCUUUGGCGUAUUCCUCACGUAUGAUAUCAAAAAGGGUUUGGCUUGUUGGACGGUGCGGUACAAGAGAUUUUGAUGGUAAAGGUGGUGGCGACGGUAGAGAUGGCGGUUCUAUAAGGAUCUCGCCGCCAAGCACAGCGUCUAGACUUAGUCCGGCUAACGAGUUACUACGGCUCUUUAACGCUGACAUUUAACUCCAUGCAUCGAAAUGUUACCUCGUGCAUUGAAUUUAGAGAGUCGAAAACAUUGGAUUUGCUUAAUGAAAGAAUUCAGAAAAAUGAGAAAAAAGUGGUAGAAAAUUUGGGAUUGUGUUUUA